rnacentral:rRNA from 1 species
GAUGAACGCUGGCGGCGUGCCUAAUACAUGCAAGUCGAGCGAACGGACGAGAAGCUUGCUUCUCUGAUGUUAGCGGCGGACGGGUGAGUAACACGUGGAUAAACUACCUAUAAGACUGGGAUAACUUCGGGAAACCGUAGCUAAUACCGGAUAAUAUUUUGAACAGCAUGGUUCAAAAGUGAAAGACGGUCUUGCUGUCACUUAUAGAUGGAUCCGCGCUGCAUUAGCUAGUUGGUAAGGUAACGGCUUACCAAGGCAACGAUGCAUAGCCGACAUGAGAGGGUGAGCGGCCACACUGGAACUGAGACACGGUCCAGUCUCCUACGGGAGGCAGCAGUAGGGAAUCUUGCGCGAUGGGCGAAAGCCUGACGGAGCAACGCCGCGUGAGUGAUGAAGGUCUUCGGAUCGUAAAACUCUGUUAUUAGGGAAGAAAAUAUGUGUAAGUAACUGUGCACAUCUUGACGGUACCUAAGCAGAAAGCCACGGCUAACUACGUG